rnacentral:rRNA from 1 species
UCGAGAAUCUUCGGCAAUGGGCGCAAGCCUGACCGAGCGACGCCGCGUGCGGGAUGAAGGCCUUCGGGUUGUAAACCGCUGUCAGUUGGGAGGAAAUGCAUCAGGGUUCUCUCUGGUGUUUGACCGAUCUUCAGAGGAAGGCCGGGCUAAGUUCGUGCCAGCAGCCGCGGUAAGACGAACCGGCCGAACGUUAUUCGGAAUCACUGGGCUUAAAGAGUGCGUAGGCGGCCCGGCAGGUGGGGUGUGAAAUCCCUCGGCUCAACCGAGGAACUGCGCUCCAAACCGCCAGGCUUGAGGGAGAUAGAGGUGAGCGGAACUGAUGGUGGAGCGGUGAAAUGCGUUGAUAUCAUCAGGAACACCUGUGGCGAAAGCGGCUCACUGGGUCUCUUCUGACGCUGAGGCACGAAAGCUAGGGUAGCGAACAGGAUUAGAUACCCCCGUAGUCC